GCUGCUGUCAUGCUGUGGUUUGCUGCUGCUCUGGGAUCAGUGAUUCCAGAUCAGUGUUCAGUCCUGAUGAGCAGUCUUUAUCUCUGAGUGGAGACCAUACAAACACAGAGACUACGGUAAGAAGAGCUUCACGCUAUAAUACAGUAUAUUGUGUUUUAUUAGUUUCUGUGUAUCAUGAUGCCAGUGUUUUAUCAGCAGAUGAAUGAAUCAGGCCUCGAUAAUUAUACUGGAACACUGGGAGACAGUGACGACAGCGUUGACGGUGCAAAAUACACACUCUUAUACACCCACACUUACUAACGUACCGUUAAUACUAUAGUAUCAUAAUAACAUGCAUUUGGACACUAACAUAAUGAUAAAAAAACAACAUGCAUUUGUUCGUCAAACAGAUCAAGACUCAAAAAACCUGCUGGCGGCUUCCUGGGAGUUUAUCCAUCAGGAAAGACAGAUUAAAGAGGUAAAGACCCGAUGAAACACUCACAGUAUGCUAAUGCUAACAGGAAAUGGCUAACAGGAAGUGGUUCUCACAGCAGUGUGGAGAUGACGGAGGAGGAAGUGGAGAGCGCGUUUACCCAGUUUGCAAUGGGGUUUCACUGCGACCCGUACACGCUGACCCAGCGGCUGCAGGCGGAGCGACACGACACGACCGCAGCGUCGCCGUGGAGAACCUGCAGAGAGAGCUGAGACAGAGCAGAGAGAUGCUGCAGGUGUUGUAUGAGCAUCUGCCAGAGGUGGACAGCAGAAAGAUGGUGCAUCAGAUGGAAAAUAACCUUCAGUUGCUGGAAAACAACAUGGACAAUGUCCUCAAAACAGCAGAGAUGCUUGGUGCUGCACACCAGGAAGCGCGAGUCAGUUAUGCAGUAGAGCUGAUGUCAGUGCACAUGGAGCAUCUGAAGAGACGCCAUGCAACAGUGAGCGAGGAGAUGCUGGAGGUCAGGAAGCUGCUGCACAGGAGGAAGGGCCGAUUACACAGUGACUCCACAGGUCAGUGCUGCCCCUAGUGGCCUGGAGGACAUCUAAGAAUCACAUCCCGGUAUUUAAAUAAAUCUGUACUCUUAUAUAUUCCUCAAAUAGAUGACUGAGACCUGUUCAGACAUUCAUCACAACAGGUAACUGACCAUAAAUUAAAUAUUAGACUCCUAUCAGUACCUCAAUAACUUAGUAACUCAUAUUUAAAGGGUUAGUUGGCCAAAAUAUGAAUAAUAAAUUGUGUCAUUAUUUACUCACUUUCAUGUAAUUUCAAACCCCUUUUUGCAACUUUAUGCCACUCCUUUUCAUACAAUGACAGUUCAAAGAUUUUUUUGGAGCUUGAUAGAUAUGAAGUCUCAUUAUCAUUAUUUUUGUUUUAUUCUGACAUGUGUUCAACCAUCGAUAACAGCCUGUGUUUAUGUCGUAGCCGACACAUCGCAGGGUCAGCAUCACGUUACUUCCGACUCAAUCUGAGGCACGUGUUUCUGGUUCAGUUUCCAGCGUUCAGUUCUUUGGGUUUAGCAGCUGAAUGUUUUCAUGAGUCUUUAUGUUGGUUUCUUCUCUGCAGUUGAAGCAUCUAGAGACGUCAUUUCUGGAGAACUGCAAAACCAGUGCAGACUCAAAGAAGCGGCCUGCUACGCAGGAGGAGACAGGAGGCAAAAAUACACAUCCUUAAGUUUGAGGGUAGCUAAAACUUUAAUUAACCAGAAAGACUGACUGUUUCCUGCGUGCAUCUCUUUUAGACGUAGUUCCAGCAGAUUCUCCUGUGAACCGGCUAAACCAAGAUGACAGCGUGUUUCAAAGGUAAAACGCAAGCAGUACUUUGAGAUAUGUAUUACAUACAUUAUGUAAGUGCAUGUGACCAAACUUCAUUUUCGCCAGUGUGACACAAGUCACACCGCUGUGUCGUCGCCGUUGUUAUUCUCCAGUCGAAACGAGGGGAAGUUUAUUUGAGGGGGAGGAGCCAGAACGAGGGGAGGGGUCCAACCCUGAGCUGUAAGUUUACAUGUAUUCAUCAUAAUUUACGAGCGUAAAUCAUACCGCUGACUUGCUAUCUGAUGUUUGCAGACGUCUCACACCACUGUUGUCCUG
rnacentral:lncRNA from 1 species